GUGGUAAGCUCAACUGCAGUCGAACGCCCUUUUCGGUGGUGAGUGGCGAACGGGUGAGUAAAGAUAAGUAACCUGCCCUAGGCAGGGGGAUGACGACCGGAAACGGACGCUAAAACCGCAUAGGCUGGGAGAUCGCAUGAGAAUCCAGUUAAAUGUCCUGAAAGGGACAGGCAAAGGAGGGACUUAUCACGCGUUAGCUAGUUGGUGGGGUAACGGCCUACCAGGGCGACGAUGCGUAGCCGGCCUGAGAGGGCGGACGGCCACACUGGGACUGAGACACGGCCCAGACUCCUACGGGAGGCAGCAGUAGGGAAUUUUCGGCAAUGGGCGAAAGCCUGACCGAGCAACGCCGCGUGAACGAAGAAGGUCUUCGGAUUGUAAAGUUCUGUUAUAGAGGAAGAACGGUGUACGUAGGAAAUGACGUACAAGUGACGGUACUCUGUGAGGAAGCCACGGCUAACUACGUGCCAGCAGCCGCGGUAAUACGUAGGUGGCGAGCGUUAUCCGGAAUCAUUGGGCGUAAAGAGGGAGCAGGCGGCCUGGAGGGUCUAUUGUUAAAAGGCAGUGGCUUAACCAUUGCAAGGCGAAGAAACCGGCAGGCUAGAGUUCUAAAGAGGAUCGUGGAAUUCCAUGUGUAGCGGUGAAAUGCGUAGAUAUAUGGAGGAACACCAGUGGCGAAGGCGACGAUCUGGGAAGAAACAGACGCUGAGUCCCGAAAGCGUGGGGAGCAAAUAGGAUUAGAUACCCUAGUAGUCCACGCCGUANACGAUGAGUACUAAGUGUUGGGGGUCAAACCUCAGUGCUGUAGUUAACGCAAUAAGUACUCCGCCUGAGUAGUACGUUCGCAAGAAUGAAACUCAAAGGAAUUGACGGGGGCCCGCACAAGCGGUGGAGCAUGUG
rnacentral:rRNA from 1 species